CCUACGGGAGGCAGCAGUGGGGAAUAUUGCGCAAUGGGCGAAAGCCUGACGCAGCGACGCCGCGUGAGGGAUGAAGGUCUUCGGAUCGUAAAGCUCUAUCAGCAGGGAAGAGAAUGACGGUACCUGAGUAAGAAGCCCCGGCUAACUACGUGCCAGCAGCCGCGGUAAUACGUAGGGGGCAAGCGUUAUCCGGAUUUACUGGGUGUAAAGGGAGCGUAGACGGCGAAGAAAGUCUGAAGUGAAAGCCCGCGGCUCAACCGCGGAACUGCUUUGGAAACUUUUUUGCUGGAGUACCGGAGAGGUAAGCGGAAUUCCUAGUGUAGCGGUGAAAUGCGUAGAUAUUAGGAGGAACACCAGUGGCGAAGGCGGCUUACUGGACGGUAACUGACGUUGAGGCUCGAAAGCGUGGGGAGCAAACAGGAUUAGAUACCCUGGUAGUC
rnacentral:rRNA from 1 species